UGCAAAUUGUUUUUCGUAUUAC
rnacentral:miRNA from 1 species